rnacentral:tRNA from 1 species
GGCUGGAUGGCUCAGUCCGUAAAGCCCUUGCUUUGCAAGCAUGAGGACCUGAGUUCAAACCCCAGAGCCC